ACCAUGACAUAAUUAAUCCUAUAAGCCAACCCUUCAAGAGGGAUAUAUCAAAAAUACCCCUCUAUGGGUCUCCUAACACUUAAGCCUUAUUAGCAUGUGAAACAUGGGUCAUAUGGGUUCAUAAAAGUGAAUAAACUCAUAAUAAUUUUGAUGUCACAAUUUUAACAAUCUUCACCUAGAUAGUAAAAUCACUUCCUUGUUUUGACAAUUUUCUUUUAAACAUCACCACCAUUUCUUCAUAAACACUUUAUCUUUAUUCCUUUCUUGUUAACCUCAAAAAAGUCAAGAAAAACUUGACUCCGCAGAAAUGACCUUUUUAAGGGUGUCCAACAGAUUUUUACUAGUGUGAAUCUUCUCAAGAGUAACAUAUCUUUCCUCUACCAUGUGACACAAGAUACGCAUUGAUACAUUUGACAUGUAGCACUAAAGUUAGAUGAUAACACUUAUGUACAUUAGCAUGAUUGGCACAUGUAGAGUUGAACACAAGUCAAGCCGAUCCGAGUUUGACCCAAGUUUGGUUUGGCUUGUUUUUGUGACACCCCCUUGUCAAGCUUUACACAAACCAAGCUUUGGGCUUAUCCCUACUGUUUGAGCUUGGUUUGGUCCAAAUAUUCGAGGUGAGCUGAGCUGAGUUCAAUCAGGAGUCAACUCAUUUUUUAUUAAAUAAACAAUAUACAUAAUACAAACUUUUUUAUACAAAGAUAACACUAGAAAAUGAGUUGGAAAAUGGAUGGGCAGCGUGAAUAUGAAUCACAUACAUUGAAGUGGGCCCCACCACAAGAAAACAGUAUUGAUCCGAAACUUAUGUCCCCUAACAAGUUUAGAUCAUGUGCUGUAGUCUACCAAAGGCUAUGAUCUUAUUUAUUUUUAUCUCAUACUAUAAAAUGAGUUGAUUUUUUUACCGAUGUUUUGGAUAAAAUACAUAUAUCAUAGUGGGGCCCACAACUUUUACACCAACUACGUGGCGGGUGUUGAGGUCACCAACCAAUUCGAAUCCUGCUUUAGCGUACUGAGUAAACUUUGUGGGCCCACCAUCAUGUAUAUAUAUUAUCCACACAAUGCAUCCAUUUUUACAUAUUAUUUUAGAACAUAAUCCAAAAUUGAAUCAUAUCCAAAGCUCAAAUGCAACAAACCACAGGAAACAAUGUGCAUUCAUGUAUAUGUAUUAUCCAAGCCGUACAUCCAUUUUUACAUAUCAUUUUAGGACAUGAUCCCAAAAUUGAAUCAUAUCCAAAGCUAAAGUGGAUCACACCACAGGAAACUAUGUGCAUACAAUUUACAAGCCGAAUCAAACCAAGCUAAAUCAAGCCAAGUUUCAAGCCGAGCCGAUCCGGUAGUGCCUUGGUUUGAGCGGUUUAUUUUUUAAAAUGAGCUUAACUCUAAAGCUUGGUUUAGUUUGAAUUUCUAUUCGAACCAAUCAAAGCCAAGCUUUUUUAAACCAAUCGAAGCCAAGCUUUUGAGAUGGCUUGGUCUGUGUUCAACCAUAAGUACAUACCAUAUUUAGAGGAUUGAAGAUGGACAAUGGCACGUGUGGCACAUUAAUACUUGUGAAGUGAUUUUGCAAACGUGGAGUGAAUGGUGGUACAUGUGCCACAAUAGCACAUGUGGGGUAAACGAAAAGAUAGAUGGUGACACGUGUAGUGCACUGGGGGCUCUUUACACAUGUGGGGCAAAAGAUAAGAUGAAUGGUAGCAAACUAUGCCACGUGUGGGGCAUGAUUGAAGAUUUUACUUUCAUAGUAGGAAAAUGCCUUUUUUAUGGGUGAAGUUGGGAAAAUAAAUUUAUUUAUUUUUCAACAAAAAUAAAAAGUAGUAAAUUGUAUUUUCCAUAAUUUCCCACAUUAAAAGCCUUGACAAAUACUAACAAAUAAUAGAAAUUGAAUUUCAUGGAAAACACUCUCCUUUCCCACGCUUUCCGUGAAUCCAAACAGCCAUUUAGGAUUCAAGGCGUUGGCAUUCCUAAUUUUCUGUUUUAUUCCAUAGAUCAGAUAGAGAAAAGAAAGAAAGAAAGAAAAAAAAAAAUCAACCAUCAACUUCUAACAUCUAUUAGAUAGGCCCCGCUUUGAGGUGCUUACCGUGUUAACCAAACAUUUUGGUGAGAUGUUGCUAUGUCUUUGUAAUAAAAUGACCAACAUUUCAAGGGUCUGGAUUGUUUGAUUUUUGUGAUUUUUGCAUGCUUGCUUGUCAAUAGUGAUAUAGAAUGGAUGGAUAUUGGGAUGGAUCACAAUGGUCUGACUGUCCCUUCCAUUGCAACCACCAGGCUACAGAAUGGACGGUUCAAAAUGAUUGGAAUGUCCCCUCUCCCAUGCAACGGAUUGCAUAGGUUGCUACUAAGCUGUUUUACUCCACUAUGGUCAAUGGAUCAACAGCCAACUAAAGAGAAAUGCAAACCAUCCAAUUUGGGAGUGGUUUGUGGUAUGGUCCAUCCAUGGUGGGACUCAAUAGACUAAUGGUCCUGAUUACCGUACCGUGGGCCCCACUUGUCACUAUUCAAAAUACAUAUGUGGUUCGCCGUAUAAGUUUAAGAUGUUGUAACAAGAGGUGUUAAUAGGCCGCCAGGCCAAGCUCUGUCCAAGCCCAGCCUACAUUUUAUUGAAGCCCGACGGGCCAACUCGGCCCAUUGACACUGCUUAAAUUGAUAGCACGGCUUUGGGGCCCACUGUGAUGUAUGUUGCUUAAAUCCACACUGUCCAUCCGUCUUGAUGGCUCAUUUUAGAGCAUUACUCCAAAAAUGACUAUUAUCCCAAAAAUGAAGCAGAUCCAUCUCUUAGUUGAAUCAUGCCAUAAAAAAAAGUGGUGAUUGGCCAUUAAAAACUUAUUAUGAGUCACAAAAGUUUUGCAUCAAGCUGAUAUUGGUGUGGUCCUUUCAUCCAGGUCUUUUUAACCUUAUCAACAGAUUGGAUGGCAAAUAAACAUUCUGGGCCCACAAGAAGUUUUUAAUGAUUCAUUAAAGUUUGGGAGGAUUUGGGGUGGAUUAAGAGUUGUGGCCGCUGAAGGCAUUUGCUAUUAGAGUGGAUUGCAAGCUAUACCUGCUAAAGUCAUCUGUGCUCUAUAGACAACAGUGUGGAGAUGAGUUGAAGGCUGUUUUUACAAGCAUAUUUGAUAUACAAAGUCAUUUUCUUUUUAUUUGGCCAUGUAAAUGAAUGUAUUAUUCAACAGAUCCAAUACACAUUUCUCGUAUCAAUCAAUUUUAAACAUGUUAUCUUAUUUUCA